rnacentral:rRNA from 1 species
UACGUAGGGUGCGAGCGUUAAUCGGAAUUACUGGGCGUAAAGCGUGCGCAGGCGGAUAUAUAAGUUAGAUGUGAAAUACCUGAGCUUAACUUGGGAGGUGCAUUUAAGACUGUAUGUCUAGAGUUUGUCAGAGGGGGGUAGAAUUCCAAGUGUAGCAGUGAAAUGCGUAGAGAUUUGGAGGAAUACCAGUGGCGAAGGCGGCCCCCUGGGAUAGAACUGACGCUCAUGCACGAAAGCGUGGGUAGCAAACAGG